AAAGCUACUUUCUGUCCUGCCGAUGAUUCCUGCCUGUUUUGUGGCAGCACCACACGCUGCGGGGUGGGGAAGGAAAAGGCAUUUCCGUUUGGGCCCUGUUUUCAGUCCUUUCCUCGCAGACACUGUGGGCUGCUAGAGUUGCUGAGCCAAUCUGCUCAGGCGCUCAGGGUGGGAUGGGACAUGGGGCAGGUUCUCCAGUGACCCCUCGGCUGCACUCUACAAGCAACUUGAAUGGGCUUUGCAGGCCACUGAGGCUUUCUCAGCAAAAACUGGGCUUCCUGGGAGGAGGGGCUAGAGAGGGAGGAAAUGGGGUGGCCUUGGGGUCCCAGCACUGGCUGAGAGGCUCCCAUCUCUUCUCAGGCAGAGGGGGAGGGGGAAGUGUAUGAAUGACUGAGGAAACCUUGGCACCUGUUGAGGUUUGUUAAGAAAAGGGCUCAGCUGGAGUCUCCACGCUCACUGGGCGCUGCCAGCCUCCCGCGGGGACAGACUGUUCCAGGGCAGCUGAGCAAUGGAAAUACUCAGUCCCAACAGCUUUGUCCCUCUUCAUUGCAGACCCCCGGGGAGCAGCUUUCCUCAGCCCAGCUCCAAGCCCUGCUGGUGAGAGCCGUGAAGGGUCUGACAACACCCAUCCUGGAGCGAAUUCAAGCUGCAAAAGAAGAGCUGACGACCAUCGUUUCUCUACAUGGAGACCAGAUGGAGAGAGUUGGAGACAUCAUGGGAUGUAUCUUCAUCUGGCUGGACAACGUCUGUGAUCCCAGAGCCAGAAAAGCAGCGCUGAGGGCCACGGCCUUGCUGGCUCACUCCUACCCCCAGGACGUGGUUCUGAUUUGUGUGGCACACACGCUGUCAUCGGACAGGGGCCGUGAAAUCCAACAGGAGCCUAGCCAGAGGUCAAAACUCCGGCUUUCCUCAGCAUAGGAGUACCUGGAAAGCUCACAGACAACAAUAAGACAUUCUGCAGCCCUAUUCAUUGGAAAUACUAUCCACCAUUAUUGCGACUUGUUGUCUGAAACAGUGAAUGAAGAUGGCAUCUCCGGCCUCUAUGAAACUUUUCAGGAAGUGCCUUUGACAUCUGACAGGACCACAUGGUACAUCCUCAAUAGAUAUUACAAAUGGCUGCAGAAGCUUGGAAAUCUUGUGUUGGGUUCUGCAUUCGACUAGGGAACCGGGACCGACACAGAAGACCCCUUUGUCCUGCUAUGACAUCUAGAGGCUAACAGGAGACAACUAAGCCCACCACUCAUCACAUCUCUUGGGAGAUGGCAAAGCAGCUGUUGCAUGGGAAGGAGGAGACAGAAGAGGCAGAGCAGGAUGUGCCGGGGUGCACCAGCCACACAUAACCCCACAGUCUAGGCAGAGGAAGCCAAGCCCCUCCUCAGCCCUGCCGAACAUACUACAACUGGAGCACCAGUGUGAAAGGGAGCAGCUCAGCUCAGUCUAGGCAGAUGCCAAAAAUGGAGGAUGCACAUUGUAGGCUCUAGUCCAGAAGCAGCUGAAGCCCCUGACUGCAGAUCCCCGAGGUACCGAGACCCAGACCCAACCCCGUCCCUGGGUGCCUGCAGACGUGCAAGAGAGCUCAGAGUCUCUGGGAGUUUCCCACGCCAGGAGCCCAGAAACCCCCAGCCCAUGGCCUAGAGACAUCUCGUAGGAAGUAACUGGGGAGAACUAGCCAUUGUCAUGCUGAGUGAUGUCAGAUGUUCUGGUUGGAUCCCCACUGACUCAAUGCCAAAGACAUUGGCCAUGGACAAGGCCCUGGGCUAGGACCCGGGGGAGUAACGAAGGCCCGGUUCCCCCCGUCCUGGCCGCCAUCCAUCCUUGGGUGGCAGCCCACCUCCCUAAUGUGCCACUAGACUGCACAGCCCCAAGAGGAGGGGCAGCCAUCUUGUCUCUGAACUCUCAGCCAAACAGCCCUGCGCUGAAGGGCAGCGAUAUUGACUCUGGUCAUUGGCCACACAGCACUGAGGGAGAGAGCAGCCAUAUUAUCUGGAGCCAUCGAGCCACACAGGCGUGAGAGGCAGGAUAGCGGCAUGGACACUGGUCUCUGGAUCACACAGCCCCGAUGGAGAGGGCGUCCACACGGACUUUGGUCAUUGGGCCACACAGCCCCGACGGAGAGUGGGGGCCGCACGGACUCUGGUUGUUUGGCCACACAGCCCCGACAGAGAGGGGGGGGCGCACGGACUCUGGUUGUUGGGCCACACAGCCCUGAGGGGGAGGGCAGCCAUUUUGACUCUGGCCAUUAUGCAAAACCACCCUGAGGCUAAGGGCAUUUGGUUUCAGCCAUGGGACCUCGCCCCUUCACCUCUAAGGCAUCGCUCAUCUGUCACCAUGAGAGUGAUCCCAUGACAUGAGACUUUCAGGGUCAAGAUGCAAACAUGAGCUGAAGCAAGGAGUGGCACGUGACCCCUCUAAGAGCUCCUCCCACUCCUCUACCAAUCUGGGGGUGUUUUAUUGCCAUCAAUCUGCCUCAGGAUUUGAGCAAUAGGGGAAAGUUCUGGGGCAGAGUGACUCAUCUGGAAGUGGGUCAUGUGACCCUGUUGGUGUCCCUAGGCCUAAGUGAACCAAAGUUGUGACUCUAGGCCUGAGUGAACCAAAGUUCUUCCAUGCUGUAAACUUUAACCAACCUAAGAUGCUAAUAAAC